rnacentral:rRNA from 1 species
UACGUAGGGUGCAAGCGUUAAUCGGAAUUACUGGGCGUAAAGCGUGCGCAGGCGGUCGUACAAGACAGGUGUGAAAUCCCAGGGCUCAACCUUGGAACUGCAUUUGUGACUGUACGGCUGGAGUACGGCAGAGGGGGAUGGAAUUCCGCGUGUAGCAGUGAAAUGCGUAGAGAUGCGGAGGAACACCGAUGGCGAAGGCAAUCCCCUGGGCCUGUACUGACGCUCAUGCACGAAAGCGUGGGGAGCAAACAGG